CUUUCUACAGUCAAGAGCAAAAGUUUUUAAAACGGUGAAUUGUGGUGUUUAUGAUUAAAUAUCGCAAACUAGAAGUGUUUUUUUAAAAUAUAAUCGACAGUGCUUCUAAAUUAUUAAAAAACGGUAAGGAAAAAGUUAAAGAAUAAAUGCAAGGAGCGAAGGCUAUUGACUCGUUUGAAAUGCGUAGACGUAAUUAUUUG